rnacentral:rRNA from 1 species
CUACGGGGUGCUGCAGUGAGGAAUUUUGCGCAAUGGGGGAAACCCUGACGCAGCAACGCCGCGUGAGUGAUGAAGGCCUUCGGGUCGUAAAGCUCUGUCAAGUGGGAAGAACCUAUCGAUAUUGAAAAUAUAUUGAUACUGACGGUACCACAAGAGGAAGCACCGGCUAACUCCGUGCCAGCAGCCGCGGUAAUACGGGGGGUGCAAGCGUUAUUCGGAAUCAUUGGGCGUAAAGGGCGCGCAGGCGGCCUUGUAAGUCAGAUGUGAAAGCCCGGGGCUCAACCCCGGAAGUGCAUUUGAAACUAUGAGGCUUGAGUAUGGGAGAGGGAAGUGGAAUUCCUGGUGUAGCGGUGAAAUGCGUAGAUAUCAGGAGGAACACCGGUGGCGAAGGCGACUUCCUGGACCAAUACUGACGCUGAGGCGCGAAGGCGUGGGGAGCAAACAGGAUUAGAUACCCUAGUAGUC